CAGCCGCCGCGGUAAUACGUAGGGUGCAAGCGUUAAUCGGAGUUACUGGGCGUAAAGCGUGCGCAGGCGGUUUGUUGAGACAGAUGUGAAAUCCCCGGGCUUAACCUGGGAACUGCAUUUGUGACUGGCAAGCUAGAGUAUGGCAGAGGGGGGGUGGAAUUCCGCGUGUAGCAGUGAAAUGCGUAGAUAUGCGGAGGAACACCGAUGGCGAAGGCAGCCCCCUGGGCCAAUACUGACGCUCAUGCACGAAAGCGUGGGGAGCAAACAGGAUUAGAUACCCGCGUAGUCCCUGUCUCUUAUA
rnacentral:rRNA from 1 species